rnacentral:rRNA from 1 species
UACGUAGGGUGCGAGCGUUGUCCGGAAUUACUGGGCGUAAAGAGCUCGUAGGCGGUUUGUCGCGUCUGCCGUGAAAGUCCGGGGCUCAACUCCGGAUCUGCGGUGGGUACGGGCAGACUAGAGUGAUGUAGGGGAGACUGGAAUUCCUGGUGUAGCGGUGAAAUGCGCAGAUAUCAGGAGGAACACCAAUUGCGAAGGCAGCUCGCUGGGACGUUAACUGACGCCUGAGACGCGAAAGCGUGGGGAGCAAACAGG